rnacentral:rRNA from 1 species
AACGAACGCUGGCGGCAGGCCUAACACAUGCAAGUCGAACGCUCCGCAAGGGGAGUGGCGCACGGGUGAGUAACACGUGGGAACCUACCUUCUGGUACGGAACAACCAAGGGAAACUUUGGCUAAGACCGUAUACGACCUCCGGGUGAAAGAUUGAUCGCCGGAAGAGGGGCCCGCGUCCGAUUAGGUAGUUGGUGAGGUAACGGCUCACCAAGCCUUCGAUCGGUAGCUGGUCUGAGAGGAUGACCAGCCACACUGGGACUGAGACACGGCCCACGACUCCUACGGGAGGCAGCAGUGGGGAAUAUUGGACAAUGGGCGCAAGCCUGAUCCAGCCAUGCCGCGUGAGUGAUGAAGGCCUU